AUUGAACGCUAGCGGCAUGCCUUACGCAUGCAAGUCGAACGGCAGCACGGGAGCAAUCCUGGUGGCGAGUGGCGAACGGGUGAGUAAAGUAUCGGAACGUGCCCAGUCGUGGGGGAUAACGUAGCGAAAGUUACGCUAAUACCGCAUACGAUCUAUGGAUGAAAGCGGGGGAUCGCAAGACCUCGCGCGAUUGGAGCGGCCGAUAUCAGAUUAGGUAGUUGGUGGGGUAAAGGCUCACCAAGCCGACGAUCUGUAGCUGGUCUGAGAGGACGACCAGCCACACUGGGACUGAGACACGGCCCAGACUCCUACGGGAGGCAGCAGUGGGGAAUUUUGGACAAUGGGCGAAAGCCUGAUCCAGCCAUGCCGCGUGCAGGAUGAAGGCCUUCGGGUUGUAAACUGCUUUUGUACGGAACGAAAAGGUUUGGCCUAAUAAGCUGAGCUCAUGACGGUACCGUAAGAAUAAGCACCGGCUAACUACGUGCCAGCCGCCGCGGUAAUAC
rnacentral:rRNA from 1 species